GAUGAGUUGGACUACAUGGCUUCGACGGGUAGCCGGCCUGAGAGGGUGACCGGCCACACUGGGACUGAGACACGGCCCAGACUCCUACGGGAGGCAGCAGUGGGGAAUAUUGGACAAUGGGCGGAAGCCUGAUCCAGCAACGCCGCGUGAGGGAUGACGGCCUUCGGGUUGUAAACCUCUUUCAGCACAGACGAAGCGAAAGUGACGGUAUGUGCAGAAGAAGCACCGGCCAACUACGUGCCAGAGGCGCGGCCGAA
rnacentral:rRNA from 1 species